GUGCCAGCAGCCGCGGUAAUACGUAGGGUGCGAGCGUUGUCCGGAAUUACUGGGCGUAAAGAGCUCGUAGGUGGUUUGUCGCGUCGUCUGUGAAAUCCCGGGGCUUAACUUCGGGCGUGCAGGCGAUACGGGCAUAACUAGAGUGCUGUAGGGGAGACUGGAAUUCCUGGUGUAGCGGUGAAAUGCGCAGAUAUCAGGAGGAACACCGAUGGCGAAGGCAGGUCUCUGGGCAGUUACUGACGCUGAGGAGCGAAAGCAUGGGUAGCGAACAGGAUUAGAUACCCUGGUAGUCCAUGCCGUAAACGGUGGGCGCUAGGUGUGGGGGUUUUAUUUACGAUUCCCGUGCCGUAGCUAACGCAUUAAGCGCCCCGCCUGGGGAGUACGGCCGCAAGGCUAAAACUCAAAGGAAUUGACGGGGGCCCGCACAAGCGGCGGAGCAUGUGGAUUAAUUCGAUGCAACGCGAAGAACCUUACCUGGGCUUGACAUACACCGGAUCGCUGCAGAGAUGUAGUUUCCCUUGUGGCUGGUGUACAGGUGGUGCAUGGUUGUCGUCAGCUCGUGUCGUGAGAUGUUGGGUUAAGUCCCGCAACGAGCGCAACCCUUGUCUUGUGUUGCCAGCACGUUAUGGUGGGGACUCGCGAGAGACUGCCGGGGUUAACUCGGAGGAAGGUGGGGAUGACGUCAAAUCAUCAUGCCCCUUAUGUCCAGGGCUUCACACAUGCUACAAUGGUCGGUACAGUGGGUUGCGAUACCGUGAGGUGGAGCUAAUCCCUUAAAGCCGGUCUCAGUUCGGAUUGGAGUCUGCAACUCGACUCCAUGAAGUCGGAGUCGCUAGUAAUCGCAGAUCAGCAACGCUGCGGUGAAUACGUUCCCGGGCCUUGUACACACCGCCCGUCACGUCAUGAAAGUUGGUAACACCCGAAGCCAGUGGCCCAAACUUGUUAGGGAGCUGUCGAAGGUGGGAUUGGCGAUUGGGACGAAGUCGUAACAAGGUA
rnacentral:rRNA from 1 species